AGCGGGGUGGAGCAGCCUGGAAGCUCGCCGGGCUCAUAACCCGGAGGUCGCAGGUUCGAAUCCUGCCCCCGCAACCA
rnacentral:tRNA from 1 species